AUUAUUCCAUUCACAUUUUAUUUUCUUUUCUUAAUUCUCAUUUAUUUUUCUGUUUUGUUUUUUUAUUCUUAAAAAUAUUUUAUUUAUUCAUAAAAAUAUAAAAAAUAUUUUUCACAUUUUUUAAUGUUUUAUUUAAUUUUAUUUUAUUUUUAUUUUCAUAUUUAUUUAAUGUUAAUAUUUCAUUUUAAUUAUUUAUUUCAAGUGGAU
rnacentral:lncRNA from 1 species